AUGGUGGUUGAUGCCCUUCCUAUCAUCCUAGAUAAGGCCAAGGCCGCUAGCCAUAUUCGCGGUGUAGUCCCUCACCGGGUAGGAGGGGGAGGGGUCUCCCUCCUGCAAUAUGCGGACGAUACCAUAAUAAUGGUGGAGGGCUCUGCGCUAGACAUUGCCAACCUGAAGUUCCUCCUCCAUUGCUUCCAACUGAUGUCGGGGCUCACAAUCAACUUCGAUAAGAGCGAAGUGAUGAUUCUUGGGUACCCCCCGGAGGAGGCCCAGGCUAUAGCUGACCGACUGAAUUGUCGGCUGGGUACUUUCCCUACAACCUAUUUAGGGAUACCCAUUAGUGACUCGCGCCUCACCGUGGCUGACCUUCGCCCGACGGUGACCCGUAUGCAGCACCAGGUAGAGCCCUGGAAACGGAGGUGGCUUUCGAAGGCCGCUCGCAUGAUCCUCAUUAACUCCUCGCUUGCCAGCCUACUUUGGUUUCUCAUGAGCUUCUAUAGCCUCCAUGAGACGCUCCAUCACGAGAUCGCCAAGUACCAAUCCAGGUUUUUCUGGGCAGGCGAGGGGGAUAAGUAG
rnacentral:rRNA from 1 species